AGAGUUUGAUCAUGGCUCAGGAUGAACGCUAGCGGCAGGCUUAACACAUGCAAGUCGAGGGGUAGAGGAAGCUUGCUUCCUUGAGACCGGCGCACGGGUGCGUAACGCGUAUGCAAUCUACCUUAUACAGGGGGAUAGCCCAGAGAAAUUUGGAUUAAUACCCCAUAGUAUAAUUGAAUGGCAUCAUUUAAUUAUUAAAGUUCCAACGGUAUAAGAUGAGCAUGCGUCCAUUAGCUAGUUGGUGUGGUAACGGCACACCAAGGCGACGAUGGGUAGGGGUCCUGAGAGGAGAUCCCCCACACUGGUACUGAGACACGGACCAGACUCCUACGGGAGGCAGCAGUGAGGAAUAUUGGUCAAUGGGCGCAAGCCUGAACCAGCCAUGCCGCGUGCAGGAUGACGGUCCUAUGGAUUGUAAACUGCUUUUGUACAGGAAGAAACACUCCCUCGUGAGGGAGCUUGACGGUACUGUAAGAAUAAGGAUCGGCUAACUCCGUG
rnacentral:rRNA from 1 species